GGUUCCACCUCUUCCCAUUCCGAACAGAGAAGUUAAGCCUGAUCACGCCGAUGGUACUGCGUAACAGUGGGAGAGUAGGUAGUCGCCGUUU
rnacentral:rRNA from 1 species